rnacentral:rRNA from 1 species
AGCAGCCGCGGUAAUUCCAGCUCCAAUAGCGUAUAUUAAAGUUGUUGCAGUUAAAAAGCUCGUAGUUGAAUUUCGGGGUUAGUAGGUUGGUCAUGCCUCUGGUAUGUACUGGUCUCACUGAUUCCUCCUUCCUGAUGAACCUUAAUGCCAUUUAUUUGGUGUUUUGGGGAAUUUGGACUGUUACUUUGAAAAAAUUAGAGUGUUUAAAGCAAGCUAACGCUUGAAUACAUUAGCAUGGAAUAAUGAAAUAGGACGUUCGAUCCUAUUUUGUUGGUUUCUAGGAUUGACGUAAUGAUUAAUAGGGAUAGUUGGGGGCAUUAGUAUUCAAUUGUCAGAGGUGAAAUUCUUGGAUUUAUUGAAGACUAACUACUGCGAAAGCAUUUGCCAAGGAUGUUUUCAUUAAUCAAGAACGAAAGUUAGGGGAUCGAAGACGAUCAGAUACCGUCGUAGUCUUAACCAUAAACUAUGCCGACUAGGGAUC